rnacentral:lncRNA from 1 species
CCCUCCACCUCUUCGUCUUUCUCAACCUAGAGCCCUAAUCCUAGAGACGCCGUCUAUGAAUCCACCAUAGCAUCCAAUGGUGGCGCCACUACCAACCACCCUGAAAAUAACACCCCACAAUCUUCUCCACCUCCACAUCCCAAAUCCCCAAACAACUCCUUUCAAAUCCUUCCAGAACAUCUCGAAUUUCAGAUCAAAGAUCGAAACCCUAGCGCCGCCCUUAUUCUCUCCGGUGGCGGCGCCACCUCUGUUCAACCCCAAACUAACACCGGAGAACCUCCAGGGCUCCCUCACUCCAAAUCCCCAUGUGUUUUCCCUCGAAUCACCCUAUCUUUCGUCGAAUCUUGAAUCGGAGUUUGAAGUUUUAGAAGCCCAAAAUCAGAAUUUCUUGAAUCUGUGGCAUGCAUGACCUUAGGCUCCCGAAUUUUCGAGUUUUCAAGGGUUAUUUUGACAUAAAGCAGUGUUGGUCGUUUGUUCUUGGCAAAGAACAAGUGAUUAACACUGGUUGUGUUAAACCGAGAUAUCCAGUGUUGGUUUCAAAUUUAGUUGGUAAGUUUUCUUUAUUUUUCUGUCCACUUUUGUUAUUUCACCUCCUAUUCCUCUUCUCUUCUUCUACUUCUCUCUAAAUAGACUGGAAAUUGGUCAAGGUUUGAAUCUAGGUUUUCCUUUCUCGAUUGGUCCAUGCUCGUAUUUUGUUCUGUUUGCUUUCUCAGUUUUUUCUUUCAAAUUUUUGAAUGUUGUUUUCUGAUUUUUGUUUAGAUUAUUCACUCGCCGUGCUUAUUUGUUAUUUAUGACAUUUAAGUUUUCUGAUUUUUCUAGUCGUAUAAUUAGCUUAAUCAGAUGUUGUUAUUUCUAACUCAUUAUUUAGUUUAAAAGGAAGUCGGUCAUUUAGUUUAGAUUUUGGUUUUGAAAUCAUUUAAUUGGUUUCUUCUGCUUCUCAUGAAAUACCAAAUGGAUUUCUGAUUGGUUUUCGGCCUUGGGGUCAUUUCUGACCCAUUUUUAAAGAAAGCCCGUUCGUCGUGGUUUGAGCCUUGGGUCAACUUGACCCAUGUGGUAUGCUGCAGCAAAAACAGGGCUCUAAAGGGGUAAUUUGGGGAAAUAGGGGUAGGGAAUUUGUUGGUAACUGCCUAGGAAGCUUCCCAGAAGCUGCAUGAUAUACUUACUUGACCAACAAGUCAGUAAAUGAAGGGCUAAGCAACAAAAAGGAAAAUAGGAAAAGGACUAAAAUGAAAAAAAAUUGAACCCUUAAGGCUGCCCAGUAACUUGCCUAUAAAGGCAUAGUUACUCGGGGUUCCAGAGGGAUUUUUUUUUAGAUUUUGGAGAGCUAAGAAAUUCUGAAAAUCCUAAACAGCUGAAAAUUCUAGAACAAACACUAUUUCAUUGAGCUCUGUUGGUGAUUUUUUGAAGUUCCUCCUAGUGCUGAAACAAUUUCUGGGUAGCUGAUAGUUGAAAUGAAUUAAAAUAAAGUGUGGUUCAAGUUUUCUGGUUCAUUACUUGGUUUGAAACUGUUUUUUCUGGGCUGUUUUAUUCACUUUCUGGGCUUGAAACUGGUUAAAAAUUGUUGUUGAUUGCUGCUCUGUAGCUGUUAAUCCUUCAUUCUCUCUGAUUUUCUCUUCGAAUUCCAGGUACUUCUCAGACCAUGGAUGACAAGUGAAUGUGAAUAUGUACUUCGAAGGGAAACCUGAUUGAAUACAAGUUGAUAUUGAGUUUUAUUUCUUCUGUUUCUUCCAUUUCUUUAGUAUUAUAUAGUAAAUCCAAUGCUAUGUAUGUUAUUUUAGCUUUUCUCAUGUUAUUGAAAUGUUGUAAAAUGAAUCAAUGUUGUUUGUCGAUUUGAUUCUGUGGAGAGUUUAGGUGUGAUUUUUGGGAUUCAAGUGAAUGACAUGUUAAUCUCCUGGGUUCUGUUACUGUUGGUAUUGAGAAAGGAUUAGUUGAGAUUAAAUUUAUAUGUUUGUUUGUGAGUUAGCCUAGAAUUAAAUUUAAGCAUGAACACUUUGAUAGUUUGGCUACCAAUACAAUUGAAUUCAAGAAUGUGUUGCUUUUUUGGGAGUAAUGUAAGCCAACAGCAUUUGAAGUUUUCCUUGUGUAUUAAGCUACUGUGUACUGCUUGAAAGUCCAUUGAGCUUA